UACGAAGGGGGGCUAGCGUUGCUCGGAAUUACUGGGCGUAAAGGGCGCGUAGGCGGCACUGUUAGUCAGGCGUGAAAGUCCUGGGCUCAACCUGGGGAACUGCGCUUGAUACGGCAGAGCUAGAGGAUGGAAGAGGCUCGCGGAAUUCCCAGUGUAGAGGUGAAAUUCGUAGAUAUUGGGAAGAACACCGGUGGCGAAGGCGGCGAGCUGGUCCAUUACUGACGGCUGAGGCGCGACAGCGUGGGGGAGCAAACAGG
rnacentral:rRNA from 1 species